GUCUACGGCCAUACCACUGAGAAAGCACCGGUUCUCGUCCGAUCACCGAGUUAAGCUCAGUA
rnacentral:rRNA from 1 species